rnacentral:rRNA from 1 species
UACGGGAGGCAGCAGUGAGGAAUAUUGGUCAAUGGGCGAGAGCCUGAACCAGCCAAGUAGCGUGCAGGAAGACGGCCCUAUGGGUUGUAAACUGCUUUUAUACAGGGAUAAAGUGUGCCACGUGUGGCGUUUUGUAGGUACUGUAUGAAUNAAGGACCGGCUAAUUCCGUGCCAGCAGCCGCGGUAAU